rnacentral:rRNA from 1 species
AUUGAACGCUGGCGGCAUGCCUUACACAUGCAAGUCGAACGGCAGCACGGGAGCAAUCCUGGUGGCGAGUGGCGAACGGGUGAGUAAUAUAUCGGAACGUGCCCAGUCGUGGGGGAUAACGUAGCGAAAGCUACGCUAAUACCGCAUACGAUCUAUGGAUGAAAGCGGGGGAUCGCAAGACCUCGCGCGAUUGGAGCGGCCGAUAUCAGAUUAGGUAGUUGGUGAGGUAAAGGCUCCCCAAGCCGACGAUCUGUAGCUGGUCUGAGAGGACGACAGGCCACACUGGGAGUGAGACACGGCCCAGACUCCUACGGGAGGCAGCAGUGGGGAAUUUUGGACAAUGGGCGCAAGCCUGAUCCAGCAAUGCCGCGUGCAGGAUGAAGGCGUUCGGGUUGUAAACUGCUUUUGUGCGGAACGAAACGGCGAGCUCUAAUACAGUUUGCUAAUGACGGUACCGUAAGAAUAAGCACCGGCUAACUACGUGCCAGCCGCCGCAGUAA